UACAGAGGUCUCAAGCGUUGUUCGGAUUCAUUGGGCGUAAAGGGUGCGUAGGUGGCGGGGUGAGUCUGGUGUGAAAUCUCGGGGCUCAACCCCGAAACUGCACUGGAUACUGCCUUGCUCGAGUACUGGAGAGGAGAUUGGAAUUUACGGUGUAGCAGUGAAAUGCGUAGAUAUCGUAAGGAAGACCAGUGGCGAAGGCGAAUCUCUGGACAGUUACUGACACUGAGGCACGAAGGCCAGGGGAGCAAACGGG
rnacentral:rRNA from 1 species